rnacentral:rRNA from 1 species
AUUGAACGCUGGCGGCAGGCUUAACACAUGCAAGUCGAGCGGGGAAGGUUGCUUUGGUAACUGACCUAGCGGCGGACUGGUGAGUAAUGCUUAGGAAUCUGCCUAUUAGUGGGGGACAACAUUCCGAAAGGAAUGCUAAUACCGCAUACGCCCUACGGGGGAAAGCAGGGGAUUUUCGGACCCCGCGCUACUAGAUGAGCCUAAGUCGGAUUAGCUAGUUGGUGGGUUAAGGGCCUACCAAGGCGACGACCUGUAGCGGGUCUGAGAGGAUGUACCGCCACACUGGGACUGAGACACGGCCCAGACUCCUACGGGAGGCAGCAGUGGGGAAUAUUGGACAAUGGGCGGAAGCCUGAUCCAGCCAUGCCGCGUGUGUGAAGAAGGCCUUUUGGUUGUAAAGCACUUUAAGCGAGGAGGAGGCUCCUUUAGUUAAUACCUAAAGAGAGUGGAUGUUACUCGCAGAAUAAGCACCGGCUAACUCUGUGCCAGCAGCCGCGGUAAAAC